CGCACCAUCCGCCUCCACUCACUCCUCCUCCGCUUCCAGCGCCACCUCGUAUCUCCUCAAUCGCGACAUGUCCCGGGCUCCGAACGGUUCCUGGGGAGCAGCAUGAUACGAACACUUAUUCCCAGCCGCAAGUCCCCUUCUCCAUCAUCCCUAGGACGAGUCUGCAUAGUCCUCAGGUCUGUGGAGCCUGAUGCUUUGUGGUGUUAACUGUGGGAACUGAAGACAGCAGGAGUUGCGCCAGCAGUCAGGAGUUUGAACAACACGUAUGGUGGGAAAUAUGGCAUAGGAUCUUGCAGAGGGCUGGAGUUUGGAUCCUAGCACCCACAUUGCAUGGCUCACAACCACCUGUA